rnacentral:rRNA from 1 species
AGAGUUGAUCAUGGCUCAGGACGAACGCUGGCGGCGUGCCUAACACAUGCAAGUCGAACGGAGUUAUUAGAGUGAAGUUUCGGAUGGAAUGAUAAUAACUUAGUGGCGGACGGGUGAGUAACGCGUGAGUAACCUGCCCAUGAGAGGGGGAUAACGUUCUGAAAAGAACGCUAAUACCGCAUAACAUAUUUAGUUCGCAUGGACUGAAUAUCAAAGGAGCGAUCCGCUGAUGGAUGGACUCGCGUCCGAUUAGCUAGUUGGUGAGAUAACAGCCCACCAAGGCGACGAUCGGUAGCCGGACUGAGAGGUUGAACGGCCACAUUGGGACUGAGACACGGCCCAGACUCCUACGGGAGGCAGCAGUGGGGGAUAUUGCGCAAUGGGGGAAACCCUGACGCAAGCAACGCCGCGUGAAUGAGGAAGGUCUUCGGAUUGUAAAAUUCUUUUGUCGAGGACGAAACAAAUGACGGUACUCGAUGAAUAAGCUCCGGCUAACUACGUGCCAGCAGCAGC